GGUUAAGCGACUAAGCGUACACGGUGGAUGCCCUGGCAGUCAGAGGCGAUGAAGGACGUGCUAAUCUGCGAUAAGCGUCGGUAAGGUGAUAUGAACCGUUAUAACCGGCGAUUUCCGAAUGGGGAAACCCAGUGUGUUUCGACACACUAUCAUUAACUGAAUC
rnacentral:rRNA from 1 species